GAUGAAGAACGUAGCGAAAUGCGAUAAGUAAUGUGAAUUGCAGAAUUCAGUGAAUCAUCGAAUCUUUGAACGCACAUUGCGCCCGCCAGUAUUCUGGCGGGCAUGCCUGUUCGAGCGUCAUUACAACCCUCAGGCCCCCGGGCCUGGCGUUGGGGAUCGGCGGAAGCCCCCUGCGGGCCCAACGCCGUCCCCCAAAUACAGUGGCGGUCCCGCCGCAGCUUCCAUUGCGUAGUAGCUAACACCUCGCAACUGGAGAGCGGCGCGGCCACGCCGUAAAACACCCAACUUCUGAAUGUUGACCUCGAAUCAGGUAGGAAUACCCGCUGAACUUAAGCAUAUCAAUAAGCGGAGGA
rnacentral:misc_RNA from 1 species